GAUCAGUUUCUCUAGUCGAAAAACAAUGAAGACGGUUUUAUUGAAGAACUAUAAUCAUUCCUAUUUCCAUUCCCAGCAUUUCCAUUGGAAGCAGACAUCCUUAUCCAGAGUGAUCUACAGAAGAGCUUUGGAGUCUCUGUCCGAACCACGUCCUCGUGCUAGUUCACCAGAUGGAUGAAACCGACGUCCCUCUUUGUCCUUUUUGGGUCUUUUUGCGGUCUGGGCUUGCUGUUCCUUGAACCAGUAGCCAGGAAGCCCUUACCCCAAAAAGUAUCUGCAGAGGGCAAUUACACUGACACACUCAUCCCUAUCUGUACACAGCUACUACACUGUCAAAGAAGUAACCAAGACACCACUCUGUAGGAGCUGGAGAGUUCAGAUGGGAGAAGCUGUUGACAGGACAACCCCGAUACCCCACAAAGCUGGUCUUAAUGGAAGACUAGUGAAAAAAGCCAUCUGAAAUCGUAUUGGGAGUUUGCAAAAAGGCAUGUUGGAGAAUCAGCACGCAUGUGUAAAAAGGUCCUCUGGUCUGAACUGUUUUGGCCUUGGUGCUGUGUUUGGUAUAGAUUUCCUGAUUUUGCACCAUUCCUACAUGGUGGUGGUAGCAUCAUGCUUUUCAUCAGCAGGGACUGUGAAACUGGUUUAGUGUAAGAUGGAUGGAGCCAGAUACAGAGCAAUCCUAGAAGAAAACCAGCCUGAAAGAGACAUGUGGCAGAGAUUCACUUUCCUUCCAGCCUAAGCACAACAACCGCUGUUCCCCAACAGUCUCCAGCCAAGAGGAGAAGAACGGGCAAAAAUAUCACGAUCCAGAUGUGCAAAGAUAAUAGAGACGUAUCCCAGAAGACUUGCAGCUGUAAUUUCAGCCAAAGCUCGUUCCUAGAAUUACUCACUCCUUCUCCCAGACUCCAUCACAACGCUGAACCCUGCCUCCACCGCCACAAAUACACGGAUAACUGGCUGUCUGUCUGUCUGUCUGUCGGGUUUUUUUUAAUGUAUUAUAUUGACUUGUAUUUUGUACUAUUUUCCUGAAUGUUGGGGAAAUAUGAGUUAAAGAAUUAAAUGCUUAUUAACUUCAAUGCAGGUGCAAACUUCUCUUCUCGCUCUCCAUUUAUUAAUCACACUUAAAUGACUUUAAAGAGAUAGAAGAACAUUUGCAGUAAAAUGCAAGGAUUCACCCUUAUGAGCUGAGUUCAUGCCCUGAUCCUGUUUUCUUAACUGUUUCAUCUUUUGAAUAAGCGCUGUC